rnacentral:snoRNA from 1 species
CCCAGCUGUAGGCAAUGGCCUAGGUUGCAUUGUACCUAGGCAAGUGUUACACUGCUGGAGAAAAGCAGCUAAUAGCUGGCGGGCAUCUUGGGCCUGGUUAAUGCCAAAUUUGUGUUAACUAUACUAGUGUGCCAGCAUAGU